rnacentral:rRNA from 1 species
UACAGAGGGGGCAAGCGUUGUUCGGAAUUACUGGGCGUAAAGGGCGCGUAGGUGGCCUUCUAAGUCGAACGUGAAAUCCCUGGGCUCAACCCAGGAACUGCGUCCGAUACUGGUUGGCUUGAGUUUGGGAGAGGGAUGCGGAAUUCCAGGUGUAGCGGUGAAAUGCGUAGAUAUCUGGAGGAACACCGGUGGCGAAGGCGGCAUCCUGGACCAAUACUGACGCUGAGGAGCGAAAGCCAGGGGAGCAAACAGG